GUGUGUUCUGACUGACUAUCUAUCUAUCUAUCUAUCUAUUCUAUCUAUUCUGUCUAUCUGACUGACUAUCUGUUCUUGUCCUCAGGGAGAGUUAUUAGAGACCACCCAAAUCCAAAACCAUUCUCCAGGUGGUCAACAGAAAACACAGACUCCUUCCCAAGAGUCUGAGAGGAUUGAAGAGAUGGAGAUGGAGUCUUUACUGGCUGCUGGACCAAAGAAGGAUGAUCUGGAUGAUCUGGAGAGGGGAGGAAGAGAUUAGUUACUAUAGACUAUAACUAUAGAGAGACUAUAACUAUAGAGCUGAGUUACUAUAGAGAGACAGUAACUUUCUAUAGAGACCUAUCCCUCCUAACAAAGCUGAGUUUCUGAGUAUAUAACUGAGUGAUAUGAAUCUUGGUGAGACAGAGUCCUCUGAUCAACGUGUUGGUCACUACUCUAUAAUCCACUUCCAGUAGUUAGUGCUUUACUUUUUGAAGUUUUACUUCAUUUACUACAUGUGGUUUCCAUGGUUUCCAUGUUUGUUGACAAUCCAUUGGCUCCGUUCUGUUCCUUUAUUGUGAGGCUCCUUUAUCAGUUCAUGAUAAAACCAUUUAUUGAA
rnacentral:lncRNA from 1 species